AUGAAACAUAGCUCCCCACGUGCAAAGAAGUCUUUUGGAGAUCCAUUUCCAAACCAACAUGGAAACACUCCUAACGCACUGACCAGAGUAUUCACGCCAAAGCCUCGACAGAAGAUCUUCAAGAAACCUCCUCCGAUCUUCAAAGGUUUGGCAUGCAGCUCAUCCUGGGGAAAUGUGCCCUUGGAAUCCAUGGCGGAAAGUUCUUUCUUUUCUUGGUAA
rnacentral:rRNA from 1 species